GAGACAACAGAACAGAAACUGAACUCACCAAAUCAAAUGGGAGCCCACCAAAUAUUAUCCAUCCUAAUGUAAUUGUCAAAAGAUCCUACAUAAGCAGAACGAGAACCAAGUAUUUAUAACUGAGUGUGAUGCAUAAAACAUAUAAGCGUGCAGAUUAAAGCCACACGACGUACACAAAUGCUGUGUUCGGUAAGGUGGUUGGACAUUAAAAAAACAACUCAAGUCAAAAAAAUUUCCAUUAUACUGUCCUCUCCUAUUCAGUUAAAAUUUAAUCCAUUAUGCCGUGUGUGUAUAAUUCAAAACUGAAUGAACACCAAGAGCAUGGGUACCAUUAGCAAUGUUAUUUGCUAUCAAGAUUUUAUGAUAAAAUGAAAUUACAUUUGAGGUCUAGCUUUGGAAAAAAAAUAGAAACAUAAGCUAAAUCUCUUAUAUUAAAUGGAAAAGGGGUUUGGGUAUUUUCUUUUCUUUUUUCUGUUAAAAAUGCUUUCAGCCCUAAUUUGUCCUUCCUUUUUUUAACGUACCGUUGGGCUUUUGCUUGGUGUAUUGAUUCUCGGGUCGUAUGUACGUGCGCGCAUGCACGUCCUCUCGAAGAAGGCAAAUGAAAAUUUAAGUUUUGUCAUUGAUAAAUGAUAAAGUACAGAUUUUGGGAUUUGAUUUACCUAUUGAUUGUACUAUUAGGGUCUGUUUGAUUGCAAAAAUGGAAUUUGGGUGGAAAGAAAAUGAAUUCCAGAGAAUUGAAUUGCCUAGAAAUUGUUUUCCUGGAAAUUGUAAAUUACUGUAUUUGAUUAGUAUAAUUUUUCACGUGAAAAAUAUUGAAAUAAAAGUGUUUUUUGGUGUUCGUUUGACUUUAUUUUAUAUGAAAAUUGUUAAUUGAAGGGAUAGAAUU
rnacentral:lncRNA from 1 species